rnacentral:rRNA from 1 species
GACUGAACCGGUGUCUGUUGCAAUAGACUCGGAUGAGAUUACAAUAGGGGUGAAAGGCCAAUCAAGGUUAGUAUGGAAUGUCCAUGGAAGUGGAUGUUUUGAUAGCUGGUUUUCUGCGAAAUCUAUAUAGGUAAAGCGGAG